rnacentral:tRNA from 1 species
UUGGGUAUAUAAUGAAUUAUAAAAAGAAUGCUGGCUUGAGUAACGAUAGGUAAUAUAGGAUUACCCUCUUAU